UGGGGAAUAUUGGACAAUGGGGGAAACCCUGAUCCAGCAAUGCCGCGUGAAGGAAGAAGGUCUUUGGAUUGUAAACUUCUGUCAUUAGGGAAAAAGUUUGCAUGCCUAAUAAGCAUGCAGAUUGAUGGUACCUAAGGAGGAAGCACCGGCUAACUCCGUGCCAGCAGCCGCGGUAAUACGGAGGGUGCAAGCGUUGUUCGGAAUUACUGGGCGUAAAGCGUGUCUAGGCGGAAUUGUAAGUCAGAUGUGAAAUACCCGAGCUUAACUUGGGUGCUGCAUCUGAUACUGCUUUUCUCGAGUAACGGAGAGGUGAGUGGAAUUCCUGGUGUAGCAGUGAAAUGCGUAGAUAUCAGGAAGAACAUCGGUGGCGAAGGCGACUCACUGGUCGUUAACUGACGCU
rnacentral:rRNA from 1 species